CCAAUAGCGUAUAUUAAAGUUGUUGCAGUUAAAGAGCUCGUAGUUGAAUUUCGGGGUCAGCAGGUUGGUCGUGCCACUGGUAUGCACUGGCUUUACUGAUUCCUCCUUCUUGAAGAACUGUAAUGCUAUUAAUUUAGUGUUGCAGGGAAACAGGACUGUUACUUUGAAAAAAUUAGAGUGUUUAAAGCAGGCUAACGCCUGAAUACAUUAGCAUGGAAUAAUGAAAUAGGACGUUUGAUCCUAUUUUGUUGGUUUCUAGGAUUGACGUAAUGAUUAAUAGGGAUAGUUGGGGGCAUUAGUAUUCAAUUGUCAGAGGUGAAAUUCUUGGAUUUAUUGAAGACUAACUACUGCGAAAGCAUUUGCCAAGGAUGUUUUCAUUAAUCAAGAACGAAAGUUAGGGGAUCGAAGACGAUCAGAUACCGUCGUAGUCUUAACCAUAAACUAUGCCGACUAGGGAUCGGAUGAUGUUAAUUUUUUAAUGACUCAUUCGGCGCCUUACG
rnacentral:rRNA from 1 species